GAGAAGCUGAGCACCCAUGCUGGAACUCACCAUAUAGAUGCCUCGCUGCUUUUCAUUUCUAAGUUUCUCCUCCAUGUCUUUUUCCUCUUGCCAGUGUUUAGAUAAAAUUAUUUCUAUUUGAUACAUUUUUCUUCACUCUUGUCCUUAAUGGGUCAAGUCUUAUGUGGCUUCAUAGCCCUGAUAGACAGUAGUAUUGCUAUUUUGGAGUCAAGGUCUCGUUCUGUCGGCCAAGCUGGAGUGCAGUGGCACCAUCAGGGCUCACUGCAGCCUUGACCUCCGAGGCUCAAGGAAUCCUCCCACCUCAGCCUUCCGGAUAGUUGGUACUACAGAUGAUCCAGCUCUGUCGGAGGCACGUAGGCACAGCCAAAUCUCAUGCUGUACAUUGAUCACCUGUCCAACCUUUGCCUAGAGUGGGAGCCCCCAGUUCCUUCGAGAUCCAACAUUACCUGUCUGUAAAGAAGAAGAGGAGGAGGGAGACAGCGGGGAGGAUCCGGUGGCAGUUUAACACCAGAGCAGGUCCAAUGUUUACUUUUACCCUUUUGGAGCUAUCAGAAGGGCUGAAUAAAGGGAACAUGCAGCUCUGCAGCAAUAUUCUGAUAAUCUAUUGCAGUGCGGCUCACAUCACUGUCCACCACCACCUGGAGCGGCUCAUCAGAACUGAAAGGGAGUUUUCACUUACCUUAUUGAGCGUGAUUCUGUUCUACUUGAUAUUUCCUUCACCACCUCAUGUCAUUUCUCAUGGAUUUGGUUAUGAUGGAAAGGAAGAAUGCAGAGGAGGAGAAAAGUGACAGAUCCUCCAUUUUUGUUGGGAUGCGGGCAUUUUGAAUGUGAUCAUCUUUGCUGAAUGUCAUUAUUUGAUAAUAUUUUGUUUAUGUUACUUAAACAUCAUUGAAUAAAUUUGAACUCCAUGGGAUUUUAUCUGUGGAUUCAGCUUCUGUUGGACAACUAGCCUCAUCUCCAGUAUCCUGCUGGUUCAGUCUAAUUGGUCUUUCCUGAUGCAUUAGAUUAUCAAAAAGUAUAAAUUCGCUGUGAGUGAGUGGUGUUGGCAGUGUUUAUAUAUCAUGAUGCAUGGAGUGUUUGACGAAGAAACAAAAAACACCAAAAAUUGCGAGCCUUUACCCUCCUCUAUUUCUUUAAUCUGUUGUUUGAAGAACCGCAUUUUGAGGGUGUAACCAGUAGUCACCUCUGGGCCAGGUUGGAAAUGAAAUCAAUUUUUUAAACCACUAAUACUUGCCAAGAAAUCGCCUUAUGAGAACAUGGUGUGUGUCUCUGACAAUGCGUGGCACAUCUAAAUUGAUCAUUCAUAAUUUUAUCUACCCAGUCAUGUACUGGAGAGUGGCAAAAGUCUGAGGCACCUGCAUAUCUCUAGUCCCUGUGUUCUGCACAUCCCCACGGUGGGGACGCCACCAAGCCUCAGACUCUUACCAUCCCGGUACAUGCAGGUCUCCAUGAAGAAGCUGGGACUCAUUCACAUUUCAAGAUCCAAAUGCUGUGCAAACAGUGUAAGCUUAGAUUUUCUGUAAAUGAAGGGUCAUUUCUCUUUUUUUUUUUUUUAAAGAAAAUGUGUCUGCAACAUGGAUUCCAAAGCAUUUUCAGCAUCAAACAUGAAAACAUUGAUGAAUGAGGAACAAUCACAAAAGCUGUGUCUCUGUAUAUAGCUCUACACAACAUGUAUGUGGAUACAGUGAUUAUUUAAAGCACAUGCCAGGGAAAAAGACCAAAUUUUGAGGUCUUUUACAUACAGUGAUAUGGUACUAAGGAGAAUUAAACUCCUACUGCUUCCUCUGAAUAUUAAGAAACAAUUUAAAUUGUUAUAACUUCAUAAAACUCAUGACUGAGUCUGGCAAACAUGUGCAACUCUUGUAUUGCUCCAUUUUCUUGUCAAUGGAAGAAACCCUUCCACGUGUAUGCAAGUGGGAGAUGAAAACCUGCAUUUUUAAAGGACAAACAGUGAAUUUAAGCAUGAGUGGCCUUAAUAAAUAUAGUUGUCUUUCUUUGCUGCUGUGGAAAGGAUUCUAAACAGAUGUCCCUGAAGUCUUGCAUUGAAUUUAGUCAUUAUUAUUACUUUUUAAAAUGUUGGUGCAAUUAACUCUGGACCUCUCUUGUGAGCCAUAGAGAUAUUUAAAAGACAAACACCUUAUUUGUCGGGGAAGAUGAAACCGUCCCUGAGUUGCACCAUUCUUUCUUGGUGCAUUCGCGGUUAAGAUACUCAAGCAGGUUUCUUGCUUCUGGCUUUGUUCUUGUCAUCAGUAAGUAUAACAAACUAUGUAAUGCUUACGUGUUGCAUAAACAAUCCAAAUGCAUUCAUGUUUUAAAAGUUUGUCCUUUAACUGUCAGAGGGAUCUAGGUCUUGGUUAGAGAAGUAAGCAGAGUUCUUUGCAAGCUUAUUUAGCACAUUUUGACACAAUGUUGCACUGAAAACCCAGGCCACAAAUGUGUCCCAGUGAACAGUUUGGAUGUCCUCAGAGAAGUGGUUCUCACUGCCUCCUACAACCAGGUCUUGACCUGAACUCUGCAACUGAAUACUUGAAGUAGGAAGUAGGAAAUCCAGUAGGGAAAAUAGGGUCCUUGAAACAGAAAAAAAAA
rnacentral:sRNA from 1 species